AUUGAACGCUGGCGGCAGGCCUAACACAUGCAAGUCGAGCGGAGCGGCGGACGGGUGAGUAAUGCCUAGGAAUCUGCCUGGUAGUGGGGGAUAACGUCCGGAAACGGGCGCUAAUACCGCAUACUAUCACAUGAGCCUAGGUCGGAUUAGCUAGGUGGUGGGGUAAAGGCCUACCAAGGCGACGAUCCGUAACUGGUCUGAGAGGAUGAUCAGCCAUACUGGGACGGAGACACGGCCCAGACUCCAACGGGAGGUAGCAGUGGGGAAUUUUGGACAAUGGGGGAAACCCUGAGCCAGCCAUCCCGCGUGUGCGAUGAAGGCCUUCGGGUUGUAAAGCACUUUCAGCGGGGAGGCGUUACCCGCAGAAGAAGCACCGACUAACUCCGUGCCAGCAGCCGCGGUAAUUC
rnacentral:rRNA from 1 species